rnacentral:rRNA from 1 species
UACACUCCUACGGGAGGCAGCAGUGGGGAAUAUUGGACAAUGGGCGCAAGCCUGAUCCAGCCAUGCCGCGUGAGUGAUGAAGGCCCUAGGGUUGUAAAGCUCUUUCACCGGUGAAGAUAAUGACGGUAACCGGAGAAGAAGCCCCGGCUAACUUCGUGCCAGCAGCCGCGGUAAUACGAAGGGGGCUAGCGUUGUUCGGAUUUACUGGGCGUAAAGCGCACGUAGGCGGACUAUUAAGUCAGGGGUGAAAUCCCGGGGCUCAACCCCGGAACUGCCUUUGAUACUGGUAGUCUUGAGUUCGAGAGAGGUGAGUGGAAUUCCGAGUGUAGAGGUGAAAUUCGUAGAUAUUCGGAGGAACACCAGUGGCGAAGGCGGCUCACUGGCUCGAUACUGACGCUGAGGUGCGAAAGCGUGGGGAGCAAACAGGAUUAGAAACCCCGGUAGUCC